rnacentral:rRNA from 1 species
AUGAGAACAGAGCCUAAGCAUUGGGCUAGGUCAUUUUUUCUAGUUGGAGCAAACUGUGAGUCUGUUGAUAAUAACCUCUGCGAGUCAUUCAACAAUGCCAUUUUAGAAGCAAGGUACUACCCUAUCAUUUCACAGCAAGAGAAGAUAAGGAAUAAAGUCUUUGUCAGAAUUCAGGAACAGAGAAGCAAAAGUGCUAGAUGGAACGGAACAAUUUGCCCUGGUGUGUUCAAGAAACUAAAGGUCAGCAUUAAGAGAACUCAGUUUCUUGAGGUGCUUUGGAAUGGCAAGGAAGGAUUUGAGGUCAAACACUUGCAGGGCAGAGGAAAAAGAUACACAGUGAACCUUGACAAAUGGACAUGCUCAUGUGGCUACUUUCAGCUAGCAGGCCUCCCUUGUUGCCAUGCAAUUAGUGCUAUCUACAAAAGUGGCAGAAAAAUAGAAGAUUACAUUCACAAGUGCUAUCAUAUUGAGACUUUCAACAAGAUAUACGAGCAUUGCCUACAACCAGUAGAAGGUGAAGAAAACUGGCCAGUUUCUCAAAACCCUAGGCCAGAGGCACCUGGCUAUAUUGCCAUGCCAGGAGCAAGAAAGAAAUUGACAGGAAAUGACAGGAAAAGAGAAGAGGGGGAAGCACCCAAGGGCAAGAAAUUGAGCAAACAUGGCAUUCAGAUAACUUGUGGGUGUUGUGGGGCCAAGGGACACAACAAAGGUUCUUGCAAAAAUAAUCCAGAUAGAAACAAAAAAACAAAGGCAUUUCUUGCUAAGAGAGGGAAAAAACUUAGAGCAACAGAGGUAAUUUACUCCUGUACAACACUAUAUGCUCUGUUUUUGCAUUGA